AACGAACGCUGGCGGCAUGCCUAACACAUGCCAGUCGAACGAGACCUUCGGGUCUAGUGGCGCACGGGUGCGUAACGCGUGGGAACCUGCCCUUAGGUUCGGAAUAACUCCCCGAAAGGGGUGCUAAUACCGGAUAAUGUCUUCGGACCAAAGAUUUAUCGCCUUUGGAUGGGCCCGCGUUGGAUUAGCUAGUUGGUAGGGUAAAAGCCUACCAAGGCGACGAUCCAUAGCUGGUCUGAGAGGAUGAUCAGCCACACUGGGACUGAGACACGGCCCAGACUCCUACGGGAGGCAGCAGGGGGGAAUAUUGGACAAUGGGCGAAAGCCUGAUCCAGCAAUGCCGCGUGAGUGAUGAAGGCCUUAGGGUUGUAAAGCUCUUUUACCCGGGAUGAUAAUGACAGUACCGGGAGAAUAAGCUCCGGCUAACUCCGU
rnacentral:rRNA from 1 species